AUUGCGAGCCGAACCCGGGAGCUGGCGCCAUGGUGCUGUUGCACGUGCUGUUUGAGCACGCGGUCGGCUACGCGCUGCUGGCGCUGAAGGAAGUGGAGGAGAUCAGUCUGCUGCAGCCGCAGGUGGAGGAGUCUGUGCUCAACCUGGGCAAAUUCCACAGCAUCGUUCGUCUGGUGGCCUUUUGUCCCUUUGCCUCAUCCCAGGUUGCCUUGGAAAAUGCCAACGCCGUGUCUGAAGGGGUUGUUCAUGAGGACCUCCGCCUGCUCUUGGAGACCCACCUGCCGUCCAAAAAGAAGAAAGUACUCUUGGGAGUUGGGGAUCCCAAGAUUGGUGCCGCAAUACAGGAGGAGUUAGGGUACAACUGCCAGACUGGAGGAGUCAUAGCUGAGAUCCUGCGAGGAGUUCGUCUGCACUUCCACAAUCUGGUGAAGGGUCUGACCGAUCUGUCAGCUUGUAAAGCACAGCUGGGGCUGGGACACAGCUAUUCCCGUGCCAAAGUUAAGUUUAAUGUGAACCGGGUGGACAAUAUGAUCAUCCAGUCCAUUAGCCUCCUGGACCAGCUGGAUAAGGACAUCAAUACCUUCUCUAUGCGUGUCAGGGAGUGGUACGGGUAUCACUUUCCGGAGCUGGUGAAGAUCAUCAACGACAAUGCCACAUACUGCCGUCUUGCCCAGUUUAUUGGAAACCGAAGGGAACUGAAUGAGGACAAGCUGGAGAAGCUGGAGGAGCUGACAAUGGAUGGGGCCAAGGCUAAGGCUAUUCUGGAUGCCUCACGGUCCUCCAUGGGCAUGGACAUAUCUGCCAUUGACUUGAUAAACAUCGAGAGCUUCUCCAGUCGUGUGGUGUCUUUAUCUGAAUACCGCCAGAGCCUACACACUUACCUGCGCUCCAAGAUGAGCCAAGUAGCCCCCAGCCUGUCAGCCCUAAUUGGGGAAGCGGUAGGUGCACGUCUCAUCGCACAUGCUGGCAGCCUCACCAACCUGGCCAAGUAUCCAGCAUCCACAGUGCAGAUCCUUGGGGCUGAAAAGGCCCUGUUCAGGUACCAGUGAGGGCACCUGCCCACAAUCAGGUGCCACUUCUGGUGCCCACUGCUUGUUGGGGGAUCACGGUGAUGGCUGACCAGGGCUCCCUGACCUAUACAGGCCUCUGCUAUGGGGGUGAUGGCCAGUCCUGGUGUCUGAGUGAUUCCCAGGGCCCAGCAAAGGGACCAAGUUUCCAGAGCCCUGAAGACAAGGGGUAACACUCCAAAAUAUGGACUCAUUUUCCACUCCACCUUCAUUGGCCGAGCAGCUGCCAAGAACAAAGGCCGCAUCUCCCGAUACCUGGCAAACAAAUGCAGUAUUGCCUCACGAAUCGAUUGCUUCUCUGAGGUGCCCACGAGUGUAUUCGGGGAGAAGCUUCGAGAACAAGUUGAAGAGCGACUGUCCUUCUAUGAGACUGGAGAGAUACCACGAAAGAAUCUGGAUGUCAUGAAGGAAGCAAUGGUUCAGGCAGAGGAAGCGGCUGCUGAGAUUACUAGGAAGCUGGAGAAACAGGAGAAGAAACGCUUAAAGAAGGAAAAGAAACGGCUGGCUGCACUUGCCCUCGCGUCUUCAGAAAACAGCAGUAGUACUCCAGAGGAGUGUGAGGAGAUGAGUGAAAAACCCAAAAAGAAGAAAAAGCAAAAGCCCCAGGAGGUUCCUCAGGAGAAUGGAAUGGAAGACCCAUCUAUCUCUUUCUCCAAACCCAAGAAAAAGAAAUCUUUUUCCAAGGAGGAGUUGAUGAGUAGCGAUCUUGAAGAGACCGCUGGCAGCACCAGUAUUCCCAAGAGGAAGAAGUCUACACCCAAGGAGGAAACAGUUAAUGACCCUGAGGAGGCAGGCCACAGAAGUGGCUCCAAGAAAAAGAGGAAAUUCUCCAAAGAGGAGCCGGUCAGCAGUGGGCCUGAAGAGGCGGUUGGCAAGAGCAGCUCCAAGAAGAAGAAAAAGUUCCAUAAAGCAUCCCAGGAAGAUUAGAAUGCAAAUGGACAUUCUCUGGGAGGUGGGGCAUACCAUAGCCCAAGGUGACAUUUCCCACCCUGUGCCGUGUUCCCCAAUAAAAACAAAUUCACAAGA